rnacentral:rRNA from 1 species
UACAGAGGUCUCAAGCGUUGUUCGGAUUCAUUGGGCGUAAAGGGUGCGUAGGCGGCGCGGUAAGUCGGGUGUGAAAUCUCGGAGCUUAACUCCGAAACUGCAUUUGAUACUGCCGUGCUUGAGGACUGGAGAGGAGACUGGAAUUUACGGUGUAGCGGUGAAAUGCGUAGAUAUCGUAAGGAAGACCAGUGGCGAAGGCGGGUCUCUGGACAGUUCCUGACACUGAGGCACGAAGGCCAGGGGAGCAAACGGG